UAAGUACCGAAGUCCCUGAUUUCACACUGCCAAGAAAAGCGUCUAGCGAGGAACAAGGUGCCCGUACCGCAAACCGACACAGGUAGGCGAGGAGAGAAUCCUAAGGUGCGCGGGAUAACUCUUGCUAAGGAACUCGGCAAAAUGGCCCCGUAACUUCGGGAGAAGGGGCGCCUCGGUAGGGUUUAUAGCCCGAGGAGGCCGCAGUGAAAAGGCCCAAGCGACUGUUUAGCAAAAACACAGGUCUCUGCGAAGCCGCAAGGCGAAGUAUAGGGGCUGACGCCUGCCCGGUGCUGGAAGGUUAAGGGGAUGGGUUAGCGCAAGCGAAGCUUUGAACCGAAGCCCCAGUAAACGGCGGCCGUAACUAUAACGGUCCUAAGGUAGCGAAAUUCCUUGUCGGGUAAGUUCCGACCCGCACGAAAGGCGUAACGACUUGGGCGCUGUCUCGGCAAGAGACCCGGUGAAAUCAUAAUACCUGUGAAGAUGCAGGUUACCCGCGACAAGACGGAAAGACCCCAUGGAGCUUUACUGUAGCCUGGUAUUGAAACUUUGUGCAUCAUGUACAGAAUAGGUGGGAAGCUGUGAAGCGAGGGCGCCAGCCUUCGUGGAGCUGUCGUUGGGAUACCACCCUUGAUGUACGGAGUUUCUAACUUGCCGCCCUUAUCGGGUGGAAGGACCAUGCCAGGUGGGCAGUUUGACUGGGGCGGUCGCCUCCUAAAGAGUAACGGAGGCGCCCAAAGGUUCCCUCAGAAUGGUCGGAAAUCAUUCGUAGAGUGUAAAGGCACAAGGGAGCUUGACUGCGAGACCUACAAGUCGAGCAGGGACGAAAGUCGGGCUUAGUGAUCCGGUGGUUCCGCAUGGAAGGGCCAUCGCUCAACGGAUAAAAGCUACCCUGGGGAUAACAGGCUUAUCUCCCCCAAGAGUCCACAUCGACGGGGAGGUUUGGCACCUCGAUGUCGGCUCAUCGCAUCCUGGGGCUGAAGUAGGUCCCAAGGGUUGGGCUGUUCGCCCAUUAAAGCGGUACGCGAGCUGGGUUCAGAACGUCGUGAGACAGUUCGGUCCCUAUCUGUCGCGGGCGUAGGAAGUUUGAGGAGAGCUGUCCUUAGUACGAGAGGACCGGGAUGGACGCACCUCUGGUGCACCAGUUGUCACGCCAGUGGCACAGCUGGGUAGCUAUGUGCGGACGGGAUAAGCGCUGAAAGCAUCUAAGCGUGAAGCCCCCUUCAAGAUGAGACUUCCCAUAGCGCAAGCUAGUAAGACCCCUCAUAGACGAUGAGGUUGAUAGGUUCGGUGUGGAAGUGCAG
rnacentral:rRNA from 1 species